rnacentral:rRNA from 1 species
GACGAACGCUGGCGGCGUGCUUAACACAUGCAAGUCGAACGGAAAGGCCCUGCUUUUGUGGGGUGCUCGAGUGGCGAACGGGUGAGUAACACGUGAGUAACCUGCCCUUGACUUUGGGAUAACUUCAGGAAACUGGGGCUAAUACCGGAUAGGAGCUCCUGCUGCAUGGUGGGGGUUGGAAAGUUUCGGCGGUUGGGGAUGGACUCGCGGCUUAUCAGCUUGUUGGUGGGGUAGUGGCUUACCAAGGCUUUGACGGGUAGCCGGCCUGAGAGGGUGACCGGCCACAUUGGGACUGAGAUACGGCCCAGACUCCUACGGGAGGCAGCAGUGGGGAAUAUUGCACAAUGGGCGGAAGCCUGAUGCAGCAACGCCGCGUGCGGGAUGACGGCCUUCGGGUUGUAAACCGCUUUCGCCUGUGACGAAGCGUGAGUGACGGUAAUGGGUAAAGAAGCACCGGCUAACUACGUGCCAGCAGCCGCGGUGAUACGUAGGGUGCGAGCGUUGUCCGGAUUUAUUGGGCGUAAAGGGCUCGUAGGUGGUUGAUCGCGUCGGAAGUGUAAUCUUGGGGCUUAACCCUGAGCGUGCUUUCGAUACGGGUUGACUUGAGGAAGGUAGGGGAGAAUGGAAUUCCUGGUGGAGCGGUGGAAUGCGCAGAUAUCAGGAGGAACACCAGUGGCGAAGGCGGUUCUCUGGGCCUUUCCUGACGCUGAGGAGCGAAAGCGUGGGGAGCGAACAGGCUUAGAUACCCUGGUAGUCCACGCUGUAAACGGUGGGUACUAGGUGUGGGGUCCAUUCCACGGGUUCCGUGCCGUAGCUAACGCUUUAAGUACCCCGCCUGGGGAGUACGGCCGCAAGGCUAAAACCCAAAGGAAUUGACGGGGCCCCGCACAAGCGGCGGAGCAUGCGGAUUAAUUCGAUGCAACGCGUAGAACCUUACCUGGGUUUGACAUGGAUCGGGAGUGCUCAGAGAUGGGUGUGCCUCUUUUGGGGUCGGUUCACAGGUGGUGCAUGGCUGUCGUCAGCUCGUGUCGUGAGAUGUUGGGUUAAGUCCCGCAACGAGCGCAACCCUUGUUCACUGUUGCCAGCACGUUAUGGUGGGGACUCAGUGGAGACCGCCGGGGUCAACUCGGAGGAAGGUGGGGAUGACGUCAAGUCAUCAUGCCCCUUAUGUCCAGGGCUUCACGCAUGCUACAAUGGCUGGUACAGAGAGUGGCGAGCCUGUGAGGGUGAGCAAAUCUCGGAAAGCCGGUCUCAGUUCGGAUUGGGGUCUGCAACUCGACCUCAUGAAGUCGGAGUCGCUAGUAAUCGCAGAUCAGCAACGCUGCGGUGAAUACGUUCCCGGG